CAGUUUGAUUCUGGCUGAAAAAUUAACUAAACACCAACCAAAAUACAUGUAAAAUAUAAUAUACCCGCACUAACUUACACCUAAAUGGUAUAAUAAAUGUAUUAGUAUAUACCCCAUACAACAGAGCGCCACAGUAAGUAAAACUUUUAAAUUUGGUAAAUCAAGAAAAGAGUAUGGUAUAAGGGCUGGCAAAAUUCGUGCCAGCUGCCGCGGUUAGACGAUAGGCCCAAGUUAAUAUAAUAUAAACUAAAUUAAUGAUAAAUUAAAUAACAACAAAAGUCUAAUUUUUAUAGUUCGAGACCUGCCCCCUAUCAAAUAACAAUGAAACCAUGAUCUAAAACAUGGAUUAGAUACCCAUCUAUUCAUGGCAUAAAUAACAGUUGAAUAUUACGAACUAUAGUUUAAAAUUCAAAGAUUUUGGCGGUGUCUUAUAAAACCAGGGGAACCUGUCUCAUAACUCGAUAAUCCACGUAUACCCAACCUUCUCUUGAUAACUCAGCAUGUGUACUGCCGUUGUAAGCAUACCUUUAAAAGACCAGUAUGCCCCUAUGACUAUUGCUAGCUCAUGUACAUCAGGUCAAAGUGCAGCCAAUAAGAAGGAGACGAUGGGUUACAACCCCUAAACAGAAUAUCAACUAAGAAAUAAAAAAUCUUACGAAAGUGGACUUGGCCGUAAUCAAUUUCAAGUUAAAGAAAUGAAUAAUAUCUAAGACAUGCACACAUCGCCCGUCACUCUAUCCCAAAGGUUAGAUAAGUCGUAACAAAGUAGGUGUAAUGGAAAUUGUACCUGU
rnacentral:rRNA from 1 species